AGAGUUUGAUCCUGGCUCAGGACGAACGCUGGCGGCGUGCCUAACACAUGCAAGUCGAACGGAGUUGAAAGGAGCUUGCUUUUUUCAACUCAGUGGCGGACGGGUGAGUAACGCGUGAGUAACCUGCCUUUCAGAGGGGGAUAACGUUCUGAAAAGAACGCUAAUACCGCAUAAGAUUGUAGCUUCGCAUGGAGCAGCAAUCAAAGGAGCAAUCCGCUGAAAGAUGGACUCGCGUCCGAUUAGAUAGUUGGCGGGGUAACGGCCCACCAAGUCGACGAUCGGUAGCCGGACUGAGAGGUUGAUCGGCCACAUUGGGACUGAGACACGGCCCAGACUCCUACGGGAGGCAGCAGUGGGGAAUAUUGCACAAUGGAGGAAACUCUGAUGCAGCGAUGCCGCGUGAGGGAAGAAGGUUUUAGGAUUGUAAACCUCUGUCUUCAGGGACGAAAAAAGACGGUACCUGAGGAGGAAGCUCCGGCUAACUACGUGCCAGCAGCCGCGGUAAUACGUAGGGAGCAAGCGUUGUCCGGAUUUACUGGGUGUAAAGGGUGCGUAGGCGGAUUGGCAAGUCAGAAGUGAAAUCCAUGGGCUUAACCCAUGAACUGCUUUUGAAACUGUUAGUCUUGAGUGAAGUAGAGGUAGGCGGAAUUCCCGGUGUAGCGGUGAAAUGCGUAGAGAUCGGGAGGAACACCAGUGGCGAAGGCGGCCUACUGGGCUUUAACUGACGCUGAGGCACGAAAGUGUGGGUAGCAAACAGGAUUAGAUACCCUGGUAGUCCACACUGUAAACG
rnacentral:rRNA from 1 species